rnacentral:rRNA from 1 species
UGCGCAGGCGGUGUGCUAAGUCGGAUGUGAAAUCUCACAGCCUAACUGUGAUAGGUCAUUCGAAACUGGCAUGCUAGAGGACUGGAGAGGAGACUGGAAUGGUCGGUGUAGCGGUGAAAUGCGUAGAGAUCGACCAGAACACCGGUGGCGAAGGCGGGUCUCUGGACAGUUCCUGAGCUCAGGCACGAAGGCCAGGGGAGCAAACG